GCUCAGAGAGUAGAGAAUGAAUAGACUUUUUAAGUAAUAAUUUUGAUAAACAGAAAAAUCUUGUACAAAAAACUGUAUACCCUUUUCCCAUCACUAAUUAUACUUUGUUUCAUUUACAAAAAUUUUUUUCCUGAAUCAUAUGAAAAUAAAUUAGAGACAUCUUGCUGUUUUUUCCUUAAAAACUAAUUCCUAGGAAUGGGACAUUCUCUGUUAAACUACAGUGCCUACCAAAAAUAACAUCAAUAAAGUACUGUUGUCUAAUCCAUGCUCCAUAGAUCUGUCUCAGUUGACCACUAAUAAUUCUUUGUCUUUUUUUUCUAUUGGUUCAGGAUCAUUUGCCACGUUUUGUUGUCAUGGCUUUUCGGUCUCCUUUAAUCUGGACCACGUCCUCAGCCUUUUUCUUGGCCUUGUCAUUUUUGAAAAGUAGAGGACAGUUAUUUGUAGAAUUGCCCUCAAUUUGGGUUUGUCUGCUGUCUCCUCAUUACAUUUUUAGCAGGAAUAUCACAAGAAUGAGAUUAUCUUCAGCUCAUCAUGUCCAGUCAUCUUAUAAUAACCUGUAAGGCAGUACUUCCUGUGAAUAGACUGUCUUAUAAAUAAAGUUAAGAAAAGGGGUUUUUGUUUUUAGGAAGAGAAGGAGCUAAUAUUCAAGUUUAAGAGCUGCUGAAGGGAGAGCUUGGAUAGCAUCAGAGAGUACACCAUUACCACUGAAAGCUGGAGUGUGGUUCUCCUAGCCCAGGGCCAAAAAGGGAGCAGGAGGCUACUUUAAAUAGAGGAGAGAUUAAUAGAUUCCAUAGAAAAUAAGCCAUGUUCUCUUGUGUAAAACCAUGCCCUCUAGUAUUGUUGUGGGGGUAAAUGCUGUUAUCAAAGCAUUGGCACAGUCACUCCAUGGACUAAAAUACUCUGUAGUCAAACUCUAAUACUUUCUUUCCUAGCCAGUUGAGGAAAAGGUAGGCAAAGCACAGUUGCUGAUUAUGGUGCCCAAGUAUCUGAUUAAGUGACCACUGCUCCUUUUUAGCUAUUCAUGAACAGCCUUGAGUAUACUAUUUAAAUAUAUUGCUGUUACUUUGAUUUUAUGAGCUUGCAAGCACCAGAGAAUAGUGCUUUAGAGAAUAGUAUGGUGAACCAACUCCUGAAUACUUAAUUCAGCUUUAACAAUGUAUGUCUGUCCAUUUCCUGUCCAGAUAAUUUUGAAGGAAAUCCUAGAUACUCCAGCUGAAGACCGUUCACUAUAUACGACUAAAAGACCUAAAUCUCUUUGUUCUCUUGUCCCUUGCAGUAUAUUUUUUGAAGGCCACUAUUGAGUAGUUUUUCAGUCUUGAUUUUGCUGAUUGCAUGCUAAUGAUAUUUAGCAUGUUCUAGACUAGAUCUAAGAACAAUACGAUGGUUCUCAAAGUGUGCCUGGCCCAGUAACAUCAGCAUCAUAUGGGAAUUUGUUAAAAACAGAGUUUCUCAAGCCCCACCCUAGAAUCAGAAACUAAGUGGAGUCCAGCCAUAGGUGUUACAAUAAGCCUUCCAAGUGAUUCUGGUGCUUAUUCAAACUUGAGACCCAUUAUUUUAGAGGUUUUAUCAGAUUCUGUUUUGUUUUCCUUCCCAAAACUACUUGGGUAUCUUUUUGUCAUUGGCAGCCAUUGAUGAUCUUUUCCUGAAUCUAUUAUUAAACCCACAAACCGUGAUUUUACACACCUUUUUUUUUUUUUUUUUUUUUUUUAAAUCCAUUGGAGUUCUCCUUAUUGAUGUUGCCUUGUUCUGUCUUUGGUUCAUGAAAGUCAACUCAGGUUGCCUCAUGAGUUCAUUUGAAGCAACCCUAAUAAUCUUUAUCAGUUUCUUUUCUUUCUAAUAUGGUGAGAUUUCCAGGCUCCUCUCUCUAAUCUCAGAUCUGGAGGCAGCCAUUUCUCCAGUGAGCUCUGGUUAUCUUUAUUUGGAAAUGGUAUUUUGUGAGUAUAGUCUGGACUUUUGGGUGUUCAUUGCUACUAGUUGGAUCUUUCUCAGGCCCCACAGAUCAUAGUACUGUCUGCUCUUGGGAAGGUCUUCUGCAGGCUAAACAUCCACUCAGCCCUUUUCAGUUCAUCAGUUUUGAAUUUGGUUUGUCAGUAUCCUUAGAGAAUGGGGCCCACUAGUAGCAACAGCACUCAAGGUUUGCUUUAACCUCCUCAGAGCAAAGCAAGUAGUAUGUGGACUCCCUGCCUUAAUAGAUGUUCAGCUGAAUUCUGGGCCAGUUCUGGCAAAGGAGUGAGGAAACUUUAGUAUUCCUGCAGAAUCUCUUCACCUUCAGAGAAGGGUUUAAAGUAAAUAAUGUGUCCUCUUGUUCUGGGUGAUAGGAGUAGAGGGAGAAGGAAAUUCAGAGCCUAAAUUUCAGUGUGAUUGUAGCAUACACAGCAGCAUUAUAAUUGGGAUGCACAAAUAAGAUCUUAAAUUACAGCUUGUAUCCACCUUUGCUAUAGAUGACAUUCCCUUGCGGACCCAGCAGGAACUCAAGCCUGGAUAGCUGUGGCUGUGAUUAUAGUAAGAUGAUCAGUAUGAUACCUGAGUCAUAAUAGUCUAAACUCACAUUCAGUAAAUACUUCUUAAAGGCCUUGCCAGAUUCUUUUAUAGGUGUGUGUGAGUGUGUAUAUAUGUGUGUGUGUGUGUGUAUAUAAUACAUAUAUAAUAUGUAUAAUAAUAUAUAUAUACACACACACAUAUAUCCCCAUCCUCCCUUAAUGAGCAGAGUACCUCCUGUCCUUUGAUUUUGACCAGUGGAAUUUUGGUAGGCAUGACAUGUUUAGUAGACUAGAUACUGCCCUCCCCUUCCCCAAAGAUGCCUGUCUUCUAACCCUGUAACUUGUGAAUAUGUUACCUAACGUGGUACAAGGAACUUUGUAGGUGUGACUAAAUUAAGGUCUGGAAAUGGGAAGCUUAUCCUGGAUUAUCCAAGCGGGCUCAGUGUAAUCACAAUAGGCUGGAAGGUAAAAGGACCAGAAAAAGCUGAUGCGAAAACAAGCAAAAUCAGACACCAGAAGAUGCUACGCUGUGGCUUUGAAAACAGAAGGAACCUCAAGACAAGAAAACAGUUCUCUAAAGCCUCUGGAGGGAGCACAGCCCUGCCCACAGCUUAACCUUGUGAAGGUCCUCUCCAGGCUAAACAUCCCCUCAAUCCAUUUGGACUAAUGAAACCCAUUUUGGACUUCAGAGCUCCACAACUGCAAGGUAAUAGAUUUUUGUUUUAAUAAGUCACCAAAUUUAUGGUAAUUAGUUACUGUAGCUACAGGAAACAUACAACAUGACUAAAGGCUUAAAUGCUUACACAAAUGGACUUGGUCUUUUGCAUCUCUACCAUCACUAUGAGAAUAAUAUUCCUCUGUCAGCCUGCUGGUCGUAGGAUAUGAGACAGGUGUCGGGGGUAAGGGAAGGUGCCUGUUAGCCUCAAGCCUACAGCUUGAGACUGCCCAGCCUAAAUCCACCAACCUGUGUACGAAGAAGAAAAACUUAGGGGGUUAGUAAUUUCAUUUUGCCUAAACAAAUAGACACUUUCCAUUUGGCCCUCCCACACCACCACGCCUCCAUUCUCUGUUCUGAGCCCCAGGAAGUUAAUCUCUAUUGGCUCCGUCCACAUACUCUUUUGCCCUCUGAUUUCUGAUUAGGUUCAGCCAUUAGGGAAAAGCAGUAGGAAAGGAGAGCGAAAAGAUUGAGAUAGAAACACCUAUUUCCACAGCCUCCUCUCUGUAAGGUUCAGGCUGGUGGUGGUCUUCAUCUGAAGGGCAUAGUGUGCUACAUAUGGCCCUCUUGUUCCGAGUCCUGGUAACCACAGUCUCCCCUUUCUUUCCUAGCCCCAAUGGUUUUACUCUAACAAUUGUGAUUUUCCAACAACCUGCCCAUCCCUUUAAAAAUAGACCCUUUGUUAAAUUCUCUUCAGAUUUACUCAUUUGGAGUGUGUGCCAUGUUUCUUAACAACAGAUAACAAAUAUUUUGUAUUUCAAUAAAGUAUAAAACCUUACACUAACUUGAUGAUGUUGCUAAAUAAAGCAAAGUUGAAAGGUUGACUUUUUUCAUUUCCUGUCCAAAGCCAGGGAGAGUUUCUUGAGUUAAUAAGUACACCAAGGAACUUUAUUUUUGCCUCUCAGUAGAUAAGCUUUUCUAAGGGAGAUGCCCACCUACUCUGCCACCCCCAUACCUGGCCAACACUGUCCAAGUAGCUGGUUUGUACCAGAAAGCCAAUGUGUGUUCCUUGAGUGGAAGAAGGGAGAUUGGAAGUACCUGCUCCUGGUAUCACCUGGACUUAAGAUCCCAUCUCCUGCCAUGAAGUGUGUGAUGAAACCCCGGUCCUUAGCAGCUGGUCCCUGUCUAUCCAAUAACAGCCUCCAGGACAAGAAGGACACCAGGCCACCCCUUCCUUAUUGCUCUGUUUCCCUCUUGUUUCUGACUCCUGUUCGUUCCCCUUAUUGCAAAUUCAACCAUGAAUUCACUCUUCUUCCUCUUUUGCUGGUUUCCUUUUUUUCUUGUAAUAUUUUACCUAGGAUUUUGGCAUGUUUAUGCUAGAAAGGACUUCCUGUUAGUAAAAUCUUCUGUCAGAACCAGAGAUGUUUGCACACUUACAUAAAGGGCAUGUUUUGAUGAUUUUCCUAAAACAGUGACUGCACCAAGAGUGAACUAAAUUUUGUAGGAACAGAAAGUUGUUGGCUGCUCACAACAGUUUUCUCUGUGCUUCUGCUAUCAACAUCUCAAUCAAAUUUGGGUCCACUGGGGUGGAAGGUUAACUUGGAGAAGACCUUGGGGCUAUUGACAUAUAGAAGGGGGGCGUCACAUGAGGGAAAGAUUGGACUAGCUCACUUGCUUUUGAGGGCAUUCUGGUGCAGCACAACAAACGCUGGCUCUGUGAGAGAACCUUCCCCAAAUCACAUCAACUUGGGAGGAGCUCUGCAUCCCCGAAGGUGUUCAAGCAAGCAAGACCACCAAAAGUAUCUGGACCAACCAAAUACUGGUAAUGGGCAGAAUAAUGUCUUAGCAACUCCUGUUCGUUCCUGCAUCCUGCUGCCUCAGAUUCCACUUGUCUGUCUGAAUCACUGUCUGAAAGAUGCAUUUGUAAUUGAGAAGCCAUGUGUUUGUGUAGUUCCAUCACUUUCUUGUAAUCUGAAUACCUAAAAUAAACCUUUUGGAAAAUCUA